UUGCCCGAGCUCCUGCGUGAACGAUUUUUUCCUUCCUGAGACAACAAGCCGGUCCCCUUUUGUUCCCCCUGCCAUGCGGCCAGCCGGUACUCCUGGAUUGUUGUGACACUCUGGGAAGCUAAGACAGGCGACCAGCCCCCUCAGCCAAAGGCCCGCCAGCAGAGCUUGAAUCUUCAGAUGUGGAUGAAAUUCCUGCAAGCUCUGGAAGCUGUAGGAUGUUCCAGCAGUUUCCUGAGGCUUGUGCUUUCCAUUCAUUGCUGCAUAGAGCUCUUUGGAUUCUUUUGUCCAGGUAAUUUAAUAUAAGGAAGGUUUGGGCCAUUAACUGACAAGAACUGUAGAAUUUGGAAAGUGGUGGUUACAGUGUACCUGCAGUGGAGGAACAAAGAAUUUUGGUGUAACUAAUGCAGAAUUGAUGUCUCGAAGGAAAGAGACUAUUUGAAGAAACAGUUGUUUUCCUGUGUAUGGUCUAUAUUGGCUUUUAAAGUAACACUAUUGAAAACUGAAACAGCACCUACUAAACCAGGGACUGCGUGAGUGACUGGCAGUUGCCAAGCAAUAAUUACAAGGGGAAAAAAAUCAUUAUCCACCAGGACUUUGUGCCUGUGUGAGUCUUCAUUUAUUUCAAAUUUUUGGUCAAGUUUCGCAUCUGUUCUUCACUGCCAUCCUACCUCCCUCAUUUGCAUUCUCCUCCCUAUUGUAGAGUCCUAUGUUGCCAUUUGGCAGCUCUAAUUUUAGCAAGGAUCUUUUUGUCAGAUGCCUGGAAAUUGUUAAUGAAAUGUACUCUGUUCAAGCAUUGAGUAUUUUUGUAAACUGAAAUGGUAUAAAAUGCAUCUUUGCAGUUACUUCAUUCUUUUCAGUAAACUGUGAAGAUACAUCUAAGCUGUGGAGUGUAGAACAAAGACAAGGCUUUGAUCACUGCAUGUCUCGGGAGCAUUGGAGUGCUUGUUAACUCUAGCUUGUCUCCUGUGUGUAGUUGUAAUAUUUCCUGUCUUCUUGGGUAUAGAUUUGUAGUCUGUGCAUCUGUGAAGUCAGGUGCUUAGGCAUCUGUGACUUUGUGUCUCUGUAGAUUUGAUUAUCUUUAUUUUUUCUGAUUCAAUGCAGGAAGUGCGGGUGAUUGCUGGGGUGGCUCAGCCUGCUCUCGGGCUGAAACCAUCAAAUGUCAGUCAAACCAGGGCCAUCCACUGGGUGGAUUUCGCCACCCAGGACAGUGGAUCGGAAGGCAGACCAGACGAGUUCACUGAGAUCUAGGUUACCUCUCCCUGGGUGGCUCCCAAUCUUAAGUUACCUCCCCCUGUUCCAGAAAGUUCUCCCUUUCUUAGUUAUUAAUUGGU